rnacentral:rRNA from 1 species
CCCCUAGCCGCCGGUGGGGCGUGGCGCACCGCUCAGUAACACGUAGUCAACCUACCCCAUGGACGGGGACAAAGUCGGGAAACUGACUGUAAUCCCCGAUAGGAGAAGGGAUCUGGAACGCCCCUUCUCCCAAAGGCUUACGGAACCGUGCAUCCGUGGGCGCCGCGGGAUGGGACUGCGACCGAUCAGGUAGAUGGUGGGGUAACGGCCCACCAUGCCGAUAACCGGUACGGGCCCUGAGAGGGGGAGCCCGGAGAUGGACCCUGAGACAAUGGUCCAGGCCCUACGGGGCGCAGCAGGCGCGAAACCUCCGCUAUGUGCGAAAGCAUGACGGGGUUACUCCGAGUGCCGGGUGCUGAACUCGGCUUUUCCCCGGUCCAAAAGGCCGGGAGAAUAAGGGGAGGGCAAGAUUGGUGUCAGCCGCCGCGGUAAAACCAACUCCCCGAGUGGUCGGGAUGAUUAUUGGGCUUAAAGCGUCCGUAGCCGGUUCGGCCAGUUCUCCGUUAAAUCUGACGUCCGAAGCGUCAGGCCGCGGAGAAUACAGCCGGGCUUGGGAGUGGGAGAGGCCGACGGUACUCCCUGGGGAGGGGUAAAAUCCUUAGAGCCAGGGAAGACCAUCAGUGGCGAAGGCGGUCGGCUAGAACACGUCCGACGGUGAGGGACGAAAGCUGGGGGAGCGAUCCGGAUUAGAUACCCGGGUAGUCCCAGCUGUAAACGAUGC